UUUGCGUCGAAGGUAUACCGGUAAGGAGUGCUGGAGCGAAUAGAAGUGAGCAUGCAGGCAUGAGUAGCGAUAAUUAAUGUGAGAAUCAUUAACGCCGUAAACCCAAGGUUUCCUACGCGAUGCUCGUCAUCGUAGGGUUAGUCGGGUCCUAAGUCGAGUCCGAAAGGGGUAGACGAUGGCAAAUUGGUUAAUAUUCCAAUACCAACAUUAGUGUGCGAUGGAAGGACGCUUAGGGCUAAGGGGGCUAGCGGAUGGAAGUGCUAGUCUAAGGUCGUAGGAGGUUGUACAGGCAAAUCCGUAUAACAAUACUCCGAGAACUGAAAGGCUUUUUGAAGUCUUCGGAUGGAUAGAAGAACCCCUGAUGCCGUCGAGCCAAGAAAAGUUUCUAAGUUUAGCUAAUGUUGCCCGUACCGUAAACCGACACAGGUGGGUGGGAUGAGUAUUCUAAGGCGCGUGGAAGAACUCUCUUUAAGGAACUCUGCAAAAUAGCACCGUAUCUUCGGUAUAAGGUGUGGUUAGCUUUGUAUUAGGAUUUACUCCGAAAGCAAGGAAACUUACAACAAAGAGUCCCUCCCGACUGUUUACCAAAAACACAGCACUCUGCUAACUCGUAAGAGGAUGUAUAGGGUGUGACGCCUGCCCGGUGCUCGAAGGUUAAUUGAUGGGGUUAGCAUUAGCGAAGCUCUUGAUCGAAGCCCGAGUAAACGGCGGCCGUAACUAUAACGGUCCUAAGGUAGCGAAAUUCCUUGUCGGUUAAAUACCGACCUGCAUGAAUGGCGUAACGAGAUGGGAGCUGUCUCAAAGAGGGAUCCAGUGAAAUUGUAGUGGAGGUGAAAAUUCCUCCUACCCGCGGCAAGACGGUAAGACCCCGUGGACCUUUACUACAGCUUGACACUGCUACUUGGAUAAGAAUGUGCAGGAUAGGUGGGAGGCUUUGAGUAUAUGACGCCAGUUGUAUAUGAGCCAUUGUUGAGAUACCACUCUUUCUUAUUUGGGUAGCUAACCAGCUUGAGUUAUCCUCAAGUGGGACAAUGUCUGGUGGGUAGUUUGACUGGGGCGGUCGCCUCCCAAAUAAUAACGGAGGCUUACAAAGGUUGGCUCAGAACGGUUGGAAAUCGUUCGUAGAGUAUAAAGGUAUAAGCCAGCUUAACUGCAAGACAUACAAGUCAAGCAGAGACGAAAGUCGGUCUUAGUGAUCCGGUGGUUCUGUGUGGAAGGGCCAUCGCUCAAAGGAUAAAAGGUACCCCGGGGAUAACAGGCUGAUCUCCCCCAAGAGCUCACAUCGACGGGGAGGUUUGGCACCUCGAUGUCGGCUCAUCGCAUCCUGGGGCUGGAGCAGGUCCCAAGGGUAUGGCUGUUCGCCAUUUAAAGCGGUACGCGAGCUGGGUUCAGAACGUCGUGAGACAGUUCGGUCCCUAUCUGCCGUGGGCGUAAGAAGAUUGAAGAGAUUUGACCCUAGUACGAGAGGACCGGGUUGAACAAACCACUGGUGUAGCUGUUGUUCUGCCAAGAGCAUCGCAGCGUAGCUAAGUUUGGAAAGGAUAAACGCUGAAAGCAUCUAAGCGUGAAGCCAACUCUAAGAUGAAUCUUCUCUAAGCUCUCUAGAAGACUACUAGUUUGAUAGGCUGGGUGUGUAAUGGAUGAAAGUCCUUUAGCUGACCAGUACUAAUAGAGCGUUUGGCUUAUCUUUAAUAAAGCAU
rnacentral:rRNA from 1 species